rnacentral:lncRNA from 1 species
ACCCUAGCAAGGCAAGCUUCAUUCAAUUGCUUCAUUCAAAGAGCCAAAAGAAAGUGGUUGAGCAGAUUUCAAGAGACAUUAAGAGCUCCACCAACCCUUGAAGAGUGAAGCAAUCUUGACAAAGAAGAGAAGAGCCUUAUUAAAGCGAUAACUAUAUUCUAAACUCUUCUUUGUAGCUUAUAAUUGUUAUAUUUACUCAUCUAGGAGUUUCAACUUUCUUCUUCUUUUUAAUCACCUUGUAAAGGUUUGUUGGUGAGCCCGUAAAACCAACGGUAAAGGUUUGUUGGUGAGCCCAUAAAACCAACGGUGUAGGUUGUUGGUAAGCCCGAAAAACCAACGUAGGUUGUUGGUGAACCCGUAAAACCAA